AUUUGCCUGACUGCCCNAACAGNAGACGNGGUAAUACGUAGGUGGCAAGCGUUGUCCGGAUUUAUUGGGUUUAAAGGGUGCGUAGGCGGCUUUGUAAGUCAGUGGUGAAAUAUGGCAGCUCAACUGNCAGGGUGCCAUUGAUACUGCGGAGCUUGAGUACAGAUGAGGUAGGCGGAAUUGACGGUGUAGCGGNGAAAUGCUUAGAUAUCGUCAAGAACACCGAUAGNGAAGGCAGNUUACUAGGCUGUAACUGACGCUGAGGCACGAAAGUGUGGGGAUCAAACAGGAUUAGAUACCCUGGUAGUCCACACUG
rnacentral:rRNA from 1 species